CAAACGGCCCUUUUCAGGGCCACCACAAAAUACCAACCACAUCACU
rfam:Cyphomyrmex costatus contig14505, whole genome shotgun sequence.